GACAGAGGCCCCAAGCGUUAGGCGGAAUCACUGGGCUUAAAGCGUGUGUAGGCGGAUCGUUAAGUGUCUUGUGAAAUCCCACGGCUCACCCGUGGAACUGCUGGGCAUACUGGCGGUCUUGGGCCAACUAGGGGCAGCCGGAACAAGCGGUGGAGCGGUGAAAUGCGUAGAGAUCGGAAGGAACGCCCGUGGCGAAAGCGAGGUCCUGGACGUCUACUGACGCUGAGACGCGAAAGCUAGGGGAGCAAACGGG
rnacentral:rRNA from 1 species